AUACUUACCUGGCAAGGGAGAUACCAUGAUCAAGAAGGUGGUUCACCCAUAUCGAGGCUCAGCCAUUGCCACUGAGGCUGUUGCUGACCCGUGCGAAUUCCCCAAAUGUGGGAAUCUCGAUUGCAUAAUUUCUGGUAGUGGGGGACUGCGUUCGCGCUCUCCCCUG
rnacentral:snRNA from 1 species